rnacentral:rRNA from 1 species
UACAGAGGCCUCGAGCGUUAGGCGGAAUCACUGGGCUUAAAGCGUGUGUAGGCGGAUUGCUAAGUACCUUGUGAAAUCCCACGGCUUAACCGUGGAACUGCUUGGUAUACUGGCUGUCUUGAGCCACUUAGGGGCGACCGGAACAAACGGUGGAGCGGUGAAAUGCGUAGAUAUCGUUUGGAACGCCAAAGGUGAAAACAGGUCGCUGGGAGUGUGCUGA